GGCAGGAGGGCCCUUGUUACAGCAUUUCUGGGUGGGAUGUCAGCGACUUCGGCUGAAUCCUGGAAACCUGCGCAGAAUCAGGACAACGAAACACCAGCUAUUUCUCCGUCUGGCCGCGUCCCACCUCCUAAUACAUUAAGCACUCUGACAAAGCUGUUAAUUUACCGGUGGGUCCUCCUCCAGGCGGCUCGUCCCUCUCCCUUCCCUGCCCGGUUGGGUGCCCAUCGUGCUCGGCCGCAGCAGCAGCCCCGGUGUCCUUCAUCUCCAGGGGCCGGUUACUGCCAGGCAGCGAGAGCCUCACGCUCCUGCAGCAUCGCCUCCCGCGGGGCCGGCGAUGCCUGCACCGGGACGGGGGCACGGGGGGGCUCCACAGGGCCUGUGGGGUGCCGCGGGGUGCCGCGGGGUGCUGCUGCCCUUCAGCCAGCUCCUUCUGCAAGACAGCGGGUGGGUGAGCAUCGGGGCAAGUGUUAUUCAUGGGUGCUGGUGGGGGGGUGUAUGCUUUUAUUUUUUAACCUGACUUCCUAGAAUUUCCUGAGAGAUGUCGAGGCUUGCUCCGGUCCCAGAAUAAAGCAGAUUCUGCAUUGUCCUGGGCCUGAACGGGUUAAUUUUUGUGCUUCUCUCCCCAGCUCGCUGCGGACUCUGGCUGGGACAGAACAUCUGUCUGUUGCUAUGGCUGCAGUACACUUGAAGGGGAUGACUGGAUAAUUAUUGCAAACAUCCAUCCUGCCUGAUGUGCUCCCGGACCCUCGCUGGCCUGAGCGCAGGGGCAGCGGCCGGCAGGUUGGGAGCAGAACUUGGGCCACGGAGAUCCUACCUCGGGAUGGCGUGCUGGCAACACCUUUUCAUUUGCAUAAUUAAUGAGGCCGAGGCUGCAGGGCUCCUGGGAAAUCCGACGCAGAGCAGCAGCGAUGAAAUGGCACGGAGGGCUCCAGCCUUCUCCGUGGCUCAGAGCUCUGCUCGCUGCUAACGCCCCGCUUUGGAGCUACAGGGGAGUUUGCUCUCCCAUUUCCAUUAAUUCACCACCCACUUCUAUCUGAACAGAUUGCUCCGGGCCCAAUCCUGCAAAUACCUCCUGCAGGCGUGGGUCCCUGGCCUGCCUGCUGGCAGCAGGCUCUGGCCGGAGCAGCAUGCGGGCACAUGCAGCUCCUGGCGCAAACCCCAUCGCCUUCAGUGCCGAACGCGCCAGGCAGAGGCCUCGGGAGCUGCAGGGGUCCCAGUCCUGGCACGGACCCACGGCUUCCCCAGGCUUCUCCCACCCAGGCUGGCUGCUGCACACAGCCAGGCAGCUCCUCGCUGCACUGCCCCUGCC